UUCAAUUGCCAAACUUGGCAGGCAUAUUCGAGUACUGGUCUGAUAAUGAUGCAGUAUACCAAAAUUAGAAUGCUAUUGUCGACAUUUGAUCGUUUUAAAACCUUAGCAUAUAAAGGCGUUUUCCCGCUUUUUUAACAAUAUGGUUCACAUGCUCGUUCCAUUUCAAAUCAUCUUGACUUGAAAGACCAAGAAUUCGGGCAGAUUUUACCCGCUCAAUACCAACGUUAUUUAUAGUUAACGGUAAGAACUCAUGUUUUUCUCUUGCAAAGUCAAUUACCAUUUCCUUACAUUUACCGAUGUUAAGCUUCAUAUAUUUAUUGAGUCUGGAG